rnacentral:rRNA from 1 species
GAGUAACACGUGGGUAACCUGCCCAUCAGAAGGGGAUAACACUUGGAAACAGGUGCUAAUACCGUAUAACAAUCGAAACCGCAUGGUUUCGAUUUGAAAGGCGCUUUUGCGUCACUGAUGGAUGGACCCGCGGUGCAUUAGCUAGUUGGUGAGGUAACGGCUCACCAAGGCAACGAUGCAUAGCCGACCUGAGAGGGUGAUCGGCCACAUUGGGACUGAGACACGGCCCAAACUCCUACGGGAGGCAGCAUG